GCUGAGUGUCUUCAGAGGACAUACCCUCACAUGUAAUCCAACAGAGUAUCUGAACGGGGAUCAAUGCUGUCCUACGUGUCCUGCUGGAAGUCGAGUUAGAAAACAUUGCACAGAGUUUGGAAGUACUUCCUGUUUGGAUUGCGAUGAGGGAACAUUCAUGAAUCGUCCUACAGGUCUUACAGAAUGUUUUCCCUGUGCACGCUGUGAUUCAGGUUCUGGUUUAAAGAUAAAGACAGCAUGUAUGACUAAAUCUGAUACAUUUUGUGAACCACUGGAGGGAUUCUACUGUCUGUUCUCUUCAGAAAACAGCUGUGUGGAAACACAAAAACACAGAAGCUGUCAACCAGGACAAUAUAUCAGCCAAAAAGGAACAGCAUUAAGGGACACUGAGUGCUCUGACUGCAGAGAUGGAACAUUUUCCGAUGGGACAUUAUUGACAUCGUGUCAGCCACACACACAAUGUCAAUCAUUGGAUCUUCAGCUGAUAAAACCAGGAACUGCUUCAACAGAUGCUGAAUGUGGAGAACACAGUUCAGGAGCUGUGAUCGGUGCCGUUGUCGGGGGGCUUGUGACCUGUUUAGUCGGACUCGCAAUAGCUCUGUUUUUGGUGUGGCGUCUCAAAAAGAAGAAAGACACAGGUAUGAUUGGCAUUUAGACAAUUAAAAGAUUUAUGUUUUUUAAUACAUAAUAUAAUUGGCAGAACAUUAUGAUUGAGGUUUUUUUCAUUGGUAAUGUUUUGAUACAAGAGGAGGAGGAAAUGCAGACAAUCCCCAACAGGCUGAAAAUGAGCUUCCCCUCUUGGAAAGACCAGCAGCUGCCACUGUGCAAAAAGGAUAAACCACACCAUCCACAUGAAGAAGAAGAACAGUUGGGUGUGGUUGUGAUCAAUGAACACAGAGACAGUUCAUCGGACACGUCAGAGGAAAGUUCCAUGCAAGUCCCGGACUGAACAGCAUUAAGGGACACUGAGUGCUCUGACUGCAGAGAUGGAACAUUUUCUGAUGGGACAUUAUUGACAUCGUGUCAGCCACACACACAAUGUCCAUCAUUGGAUCUUCAGCUGAUAAAACCAGGAACUGCUUCAACAGAUGCUGAAUGUGGAGAACAAAGUUCAGGAGCUGUGAUCGGCGUCGUUGUGGGGGGGCUUGUGACCUGUUUAGUCGGACUCGGAAUAGCUCUGUUUUUGGUGUGGCGUCUCAAAAAGAAGAAAGACACAGGAGGGGAAGGAAAUGCAGACAAUCCCCAACAGAACUCCAUAAACAGUAAACAUCCACAUGAAGAAGAAGAAGAAGAAGAAGAAGAAGAAGAAGAAGAAGAAGAAGAAGAGCUGCAGGGUGGGAGUGUGAAAAUUGAACACAGAGACAGUUCAUUGGACACUGUAGAGGAAAGUUCCAGGUUCAAUGGAUGCUGACACAUUGUCAGUUGUACAUAAAUGAAUCUGUCCAAGGUGAAUUUUGGGCACUGUGCUCCAAAGUGAACACCUGCUGGUCUGCAGCCUGCAUCACUAUCUUCCAGAGAUGUUACUGGACAGAGACUAGUCAGUCUGGAAUAACAGCUUGGAGCAAGUCCCGGACUAAGUCUGUAACGGCUCCAGGCUCUUCACUCAGAACUUCUGCUCCAUCUCUCUCACCUGGACAUUUUGCUGCUUGUACAGUGAGCUCUCCUUGUGUGGAACUCCUUAAAGGCCAACAUGUUCCCAUCCCUGUCAUUCCAAGCCACAGAUCACCCAGACAUCAUGUGUCUGAAGGCAGGUAUCAUCAGAGAGCUAACACCUGGCCCCCCUGCCCCCCCGGCCUCUUGCCUCUACUGAAGCCCCUCCUCACCAAGCUUCUGUCAGGACGGCUCUGCUCAACGCUCGCUCCCUUACCAACUAGACAUUUCUUCUCAAAGAUUUGUAGGGAAAAUUUUGAUUUUCGGAUCUUUACUAAAACAGAGUAUUGGUCCAUCAUUGAACUUUGUCCUGCAGACUUUAACUUCAUCUAGGACACCGAGGCUGUCAGGCCGUGAUGGUGGUCUGGCAGUGAUUUUUAGAAAUGGUGUAGAAAUCGGUUGGCCUCUCAAAGUCCAACCCCACGUCCACUUCGUGAGAGGCGGUAACAGCUGUAAGUACGGGAUUGCAGGUACGGGUGAAGUAUGGAGGGAGGCCACCCGAGCCAUUACGGUAGCCGUGAAGGCCUUCCUGGAGCCACCCAGAAACACGCUGGCAAACGGGGCUCCGGUGAAGCUAGGUGGGCCAAUCACCCGCAUAGUGGAUAAACAUGAUUACAGAAACAUUCAUGGAUAACAUUCAGCAAGGUUUGGAAGUAGAAGGUGUCUCCCCCCAGACAAAUAUGACGCUGGAAAACUCAAGCCGGAAGCACGUUGUUCAACCAAAAACAAUCCAAAGAUAGGCUCAUGGAACGUUAGAACAAUGUACCAAGCUGGUAAAGCAUCUCAGAUAGCAGUGGGAAAGAAUCAGUCCAACCUGUCCCUAACAGGACUCAGUGAAACUAGGUGGACUCAAUCAGAAAAUACUCACCUUUCUAGUGGAGGAACAAUAAUAUAGGUGGGACAUGACCAGGAUAAUGCCCCACAUACAGAGGGAGGAAUUUCUUGAUAUUACUGAGCUUUAUGGUGUGGGAUUGAGUUCCACUCUCUUGACCUUCUGAUGGACCAAGCUGACUGACUGAAAGAACUUUUCUGCAACGAAAUAACCUAACCUUCCCUCUCUCUCCCCUUGUGACAUGAUCAGUAUCUUUUCUUCUGUUUAUGUAAGCAACAAGCUGCGAUGGAGCUAGGUUAUAAAUGACUUUAUAUACCAAGCACACCUUUACAUAUUUCAUUAGGUCUUUCCAGCUUAAAAUCUAGGUUUCAGUGUGCGGGGAUACUCUGGACUUAGUUUUUUCACACUGUUUUACUAUGAUCAUAAGUGUGUUCUUUAUAAUUUGUCUUGUUUUAUAGAUCUUAUUCCCCAUAAACAUUUUUUUUGCAGGCGCAUCAGAGUUAAUUAAUCAGAGUACAGUUGAAAAUUCCACUGCCUUAUUUGUCCCUGAGUUGUCAGACUGUAGUGAUGUGGGGACCCUGGUCUAGUUAUUGAAUCAACAUUGUUCCUCAGUUUUGGAUUCAGUGGCUCUGUUUCAAUCUGUUAAGUCUUCACCUUAGAUAUAUGAUUCAAUUCACAAUUUGGACUCCCUUUCUCCUGUUCGAUUAGAAGAUCUCCAAAUGUAAUUCUUAAUGAAAAAUGCGGUUGGAGUGAACAAAUAGAUUAUGUGUAAAAAAAAAAAGAAUAAUCUCAAAUUUUGUAGGAAUCAUUUGGAAAAUUGGUCCACUUCUUAAUAGAUCCUGUUUAUUGACAUGAUAUUAUAGUUUAAUGUAUCCAUAUCUUCCGUAUUGUAAUGUUGUAUGGGCCAGGACAUAUUCCAAAUACUUACACAAACUUAAUUUAAUCCAGAAAUGAUUUGUUAGGAUUGCUAUAAAUUUAAAGCCCAGGGAUCCAUCCUUUCUCUUAUUAUUUAAGCUUAAAAUACUACCUAUAAAUAACAUAAACAUUCUGCAAACAUAUAUAUUUAUCUAAAAGGUAAAAUACCAAAGCCACACUAUACCAGACCAUUUCCAACAAUGUUUCCAUAAUAGCACAAAUAUUCAUUCCAUGUUAACGAGACAAACCAGCCUGCUGUACCUUCCUCCUCCUCGUACCACCAGCAGACCACUUUAUAAAAUACGGAGGAGUUUAAUACCUACACCACACAUGCAACUCCUCCUCCCUACCUGUAUAUAAAAGAAAACUAAAAGAAAAAUUGUGCUCAGUGCAUAUCUAGCCUCCUGAUGGGCAGAUAUUGAAAUGAUUUACCAGCUUUAUGAACUCUUCUUCUGCUUUUAUUAUCUUAAUUAUUAUUAUUAUUAUUAUUAUACUUUAUUAGUCCCAUCACUGGGAAAUUUGUCUUGGACACCGUGCAUAGUCUAGUCAUGCAAAGCAACACGAUCAAAGUACAUAAAAACACAUGAUCAAAUACGUAAAAACACAAUAAUGAUAAAUCAUUCACACAAUACAGCAUCCAUUAAAAAAAAAAAAAAAAAAAAAAAAGACAAGAAGGCAGUUCACAGUAUUUCAUUUCUAUUUAGCGCCUUGAUUGCAUUAGGAACAAAGGAGUUUUUUAGUCGAUUGGACCUGCACAUCAAGACCCUGUACCUCCUUCCCGAAGGUAAUAAUUUAAAAUUGUCAUUCAAGAUAUGUGUAUCGUCUCUCACAAUUUUCUUGGCGUGAUUUAGAAUUGAAGCAUCAAAUAGCUCUUGGGGUGAUCGUUCCCCCACACCCCCUAUAAUUUUAAAAGCCAUGUGCACCAAUCGUCCCAACCUUGAUUUUAAUUGGACAGUCAAAUUACCAUACCAUGCCGUAAUACCAUAUCUAAUCAAACUCUCAAAAAUAGACUGGUAGAACAAAUACAUAAUUCUCUGAUUUACUCCGAACGCUUUUAACCUUCGUAAAAAAUAUAGCCUCUGCUGUAACCUGGAACAAAGAUUGUUGACAUGAGAAGACCAACAUAGUGCAUUAUCUAUAUAAACUCCCAAGUACUUAUGUGAAGGUACCUGUGCAAUGAUAUUACCAUAUAUCAUUACCGGACUAUGGUCUCUUACACUUCUAGGAUCAAAAAUGAUCUUUACAGUCUUGGCUCCAUUCAGUAUUAAGAAGUUAUUAUCGCACCAGCCAACAAAUCUGUCUACCUCAGAGAAAUAGUGUGAAACAUUAUCUUUCCUUUUUAAUAAGCUUAAAAUUGCAUCAGUCAUCAGAAAAUCUCCUGCCUUUGAGUGUAAUCACAAAUCCUGCUAUUUACCAAAUUGAGUUUAAACCUGUUACUCUCUCUAAUUAUGUUUGUUAUUCUACUUUUGCCAUAUUGAGUUAAUUUCAUGUCCUUUUUUAUUUUUAUUAUGUUUUUUUUUUUUUUUUAUUCAGGGAAGGUUCACUGAGAGUAAUCUCAAGUAAGCCUCUCUUUUGCAGGAACGCCCUGAUCACAUAGUAGUCGUCCCUUUAUUGUUGUCACAUAGUCACAAGUACCAGCGAAAUUAUCAAUCAACCUGACCAUACAUAUACAAACAUACAAUAUACAAUGGGGUAGACAGGACAGAAAGACAGGG